rnacentral:misc_RNA from 1 species
GGACUACUGGGGUUUCUAAUCCUGUUUGCUACCCAUGCUUUCGUUCCUCAGCGUCAGUAUCGAUCCAGAGUGGCGCCUUCGCCACCGGUGUUCCUCCUAAUAUCUGCGCAUUUCACCGCUACACUAGGAAUUCCCCACUCCCCUAUCGAACUCAAGUUAAGCAGUAUCGGGUGGCGUCUCUGGGUUGAGCCCAGAAUUUUCACACCCGACUUACUUGACCGCCUACGAACUCUUUACGCCCAAUAAAUCCGGACAACGCUUGAAGCCUAUGUAUUACCGCGGCGGCUGGCAC